ensembl:snRNA U6 U6 spliceosomal RNA
GUGGUUGCCUUUUAAAACAAGGGACAGCACAUCUGCUAAAAUUGGAACGAUACAGAGGAGAUUAGCGUGGUCCCUAUGUGAGAGUGACACACAAAAUCAUGAGACAUUCCAUUUUUUU